GGAGAGGGGUAGGAUGAGAAGAGACAGGGAUGACCCUCACUGGGGAAAAGGUCUACUGUCACAAGUAUGUGGUGGUGAAGUUGUUCUCUGCCCAGCUGACAGAGACAGGAGAUACAGAGACAGGAGUCCAUUCUAUUACAAGUAGGUCACCUUGGCUCUCCUCUAUGCACAGCACUCCAGGGACUUCCUGCAGAAAGAUCAUGUUUGACCAGGUGGAGUCAGGCUUCUACUUCAUCGCCCUGGACCACUACACGAACGAGCCAGAAGACGUUAAGUUUGGACCACCAUUACAAUGAGCCUGUCCUCCUAUAGCUCCUCCCACCAGCCUCCACGGUUCUUUUAAUUAUGGUGAUGCCCCAACUGUAAGAACCUGGAGAUCUCUACUGGUUUUGAGGGAGGUGACAUGGCCACAAACAGUGCCUGGGACACCUUCCAGCGCUACCGCUGUCUGGAAAACGGCCAGAGGGUGGUCUGCUGCAACAGUGUGUCAGCUCGGCUGCACCUGGGAACUAAAGAUUGUCCAGUCUGCUGAGAGGGUCAUUGGCUGCCACCUGCCCUCCAUUAAGGUUCCUGCACGACUCCAGGGUAAGGAAGCGUGCAGGAAAGAUCAUCGCCAACCCCUUCCACCCUUUCUUCCAAAGACUCCCAUCUGGCAAACGGUUCAAGUCAAUCACGAUCGAAACUUCCCGCCACCUGAACCGUUUCUUCCCCCGUGCUAUGGCCCUCACCAACCGGCCACCUGGUCCACAAUGAUCCUCUCAUCCAUGGACUCUGCGUUAUUCAUCCAGACUAUGCACCGUGCGCUAUCAUCUUACAUUCAUCAUUUAUAAUGUAGCUUAUAGUGUUCAUACUGAAUGUGGAUCUAUGGAAAUUCUGCAUAUAUAUUUUUGGGCUGUUUAUUAUGGCAGCACCAUUUCACAGAGUCAAAUUCCUGUACAUGCACAUUUCUGGCGAAU
rnacentral:lncRNA from 1 species